AUGAGAGACAGAAUGUGGAAAAAAUAAACAGAAAAUCACAUUGUUUGAUUUUUAAAGAAUUUCUUUCCAAAUUAGAGUGGAAAAUAAGUAUUUGGUCACCUACAAACAAGCAAGAUUUCUGGCUGUCAAAGAGGUCUAACUUCUUCUAACGAGGUCUAACGAGGCUCCACUCGUUACCUGUAUUAACCCCUGGGUGUUAUUUGUCCAUUUUUUGGCUUUUUUCGUUUUUUUCUGUGUUUAAAAGGGAAAAAAGCAUAUGAAAAAAUACACUAGGGAGCUGAUAUUUCCUGCAGGAUACUAAAUCAUGUAGAAGUUCGAAAUGGCACCAUCCGGCAAUUUCUAACUUAUUGCAAACAGGCUGGGAAGAUUUGCACUAAACUCUUGUUAUUUUGCCAUUUUUUGGCUCAUUGACUCCCAUUAUAAAUCAUGAUUUUUAAUAUGCUGUAAACCUGAUGUUUUAUAAUGCAUUUUCCGUGAUUAUUGAUGCAAUCGCUUCUUUGGCGAGUCAAAAACAUGCAGAUAAAAAAUUUUUUGUGUUGACACCCAGAAGUCACUAGAUGAAGCCAUAGGCCAAUACAUGAAUUUGCUUGCAAAGCUAGCUUCAGAUCGGUCAAAAAUUAAUGCAAUAAAGACGGUCGGCUUUACAAAAAAAAUGGUGUCAAUGUUGUCUGAGCUCACUUUCAGUCUAUUUGGGCAUGCGUAUUUGCAAUUUUGCACGUUUGCACAAGACAAUAAAAAGGUACUUCCCGGAAAUGCAAAAAAACCAAAACAAAAAACCACGUGUUUAUUGUUGUCGUUUGAAUUUAAACUUUUAUUGGUUGGGUGUUUGAAUUUCUUUACUCUCAUUGGUUCUGGGCAUUUUGGGAGUCUCUGCUCUCGCGAGGAUCACCAUUUUGCAUUUCUUCCAACACAACUGUGAUCGAUGGCGGCGAGAAGUAUUUCACCGCAGGACACGAUUCGAAUGGUGUUAGAAAAUCCUGAUUCCGACGACGACGACCUUUGUUCGGACGCUUCUUUGGAGAGCCCAGAAGACAUUGAACAAAUUCUUCCGGACUUUCGAUGCCGGAGGAGGACGGCUUUGAUGACGAGGAUUAGGAAAUAGUUGACAACAUAACGAGAUGAAAGCGGGGAGCAGAAGGCGGGGGCACGGACAUGACCACGUUGAGGCGCAUGACGAAAAUGACGGCGAUCGAGGCCUGAGGCACAUACUCCUGCCGCCGGCGCGCACUCAGGUGGCCAAUGUGUGUUUUUUCCAAGAGAGUCUGGCUGCAGCCCGCCUCUCUCAGUACCCUGCGCCGCUCGUCUCAGUACCCAUCCCGCAGACAGGAAGUGACGCAAUAUCGCAGCUCUCAGACCGGAAAUGACAACAUGAAACAGCGCUCGAGCUCCGAGCUUCCGGUUUUAUCGUAAUAGUUAGCGUCCAUUCGAACGUAAAUACUAGUUUACUUUUCUUUUCGCACGUCUUUUAUUUUCGGUUUCAGCAUCACUCAUUAUUAUUUAAAUAAUAAUUUAUUUCCAUGCUCCUUAAAUUGAUUUGGUGAAAUCGGGAAAUUAACUCUUUAAGCGCGGUCAGUUUGUUAAAGCCUGGUGAUUUUACCAAAAUGAAAAACAUGGUUACAGUACAUCAAAAUUAAAAUACACACUACUGUAAUAAAGGUUUAAUUGGUGACUGAAAGAUCGCAUGUGACCUAUCACAGUGUGUACUUUAGUUUGUCAAUUGUAAAAUAUACACCAAUUGAGAAUUAUUAGAAAUUGCUGUCAUCCUUACAUUUUUAUGAACGGACACAUUAAUAUAGCUUCAUUACAAUUUAAUGUAUCAAAAACGUAAUAUUCUCUCCAUGUUGCAACCAAACCAAUUUUGUCUUUCAUUUUGCUACUUAAAUUCAUUCAUGUGAGUGAAGAUCCUAAUUAACUAAUUCAGAAACUAUAUUAAACUUUCUGCUCCAGGAAAGGCACCUUUAUUUCAAACAGAAAUGACAAAAUAGUUGCCAUGUGUUAGUUGUUUUUUUCUUUUAUCCCAGACAAUAGUUGUAGGUUGUUUUAAUUACCUGACAUUUUUCGGCAAGCACUCCCGCCUUCAUCACAGGUAAUUAAAACUACCUACAACUAACAUCUGUGAUAAAAGAAAAAAAACAACUAAUUUAUAAGUGUAGAAAAAUGAACUCAAUACAACCAGUUCUAAUGUGGUAAACUUUAUUUUUUUAGUUUUAUUAUUUUUUUAUUAUUAUUGAGAGAAUACCAGAUAUUUUCUUUGGUCAACAAUCUCCUCAAAAAAGGUAAAUCCAUCUUCCAGAUGGUUGAAACAGAACUUGAAUGGCUCCAAGACAUUGUAGUUCGUGCUCAUCCUCUUCCAUCUGCAGGAUGCUUGGGAACUCCUACUGCAUUACUGCAUUAAUCCCCCCCCACAGCCCUGUCCGAGGCUUUUGUGCAGUCUUGCACAGUCCUUUUACCAAAACUGUUCAUUGGAAAAGAGAAAGAAAAGAGCUAUUUGAAUAUUACAUAAGUAAAAUAAAAAUGAUGCUUUGUUAAUUUUAUACUUGAUUUUUCUUUUCAGGCAUUGCAUUAAACUAGGUAUAUAAACAAUCUUACCAUUUUUUUCCCGUCAUAUCUUUUUGGAGUGGGCCACCACUAACUUGAAGGAGCUGUGGUUGCACCUCUUCCUAAAAAUAAAUCAGUGAAUAAAGGGGGACAUGUUCAAAAGUGCAUCAGAGUAAUGGACACUAAAAAGUCUUUAAAAGCUGACCUCAGCAAUCAUAUUCAAAUUUCACUUCUGUAGCUGAUAGACUGGUGGCACUUCACCCUGCAGUAAUGCUUUUGCCUUAUCUGUCCAAUGGGCAAACUCUUUCCUGUGGCUCACCUAAGUUGAAAAAAUACAAAAAUAAGUAUUCCACAUUUUCCAACAAAGAAUUAAGGUAUUGUGCACCUACUUUCCUAUGAAUGCCAUAUCAACAGUUUCAAAGACUUAUACCAUGCACCCAAGUUUGAAAUUGUCCGCUAGCAAUAUACACCACCACUUCCUCAGAGUUGGCAUAUCAGUCUAACAAAAAUUAAAAACAAGUGUAAAUAAAGAAUAACGACGAGGAUAUUUUGUAGCCCAAUUUGAAUGAUUCGGUGAACUUCAUUUUACAAUGGUUAAACUCAAAGAGAGCAUCCAGAACAGUGCAAAGAGCAUACUACAAAUGGAUAAAUGAAUACAAAUAUAACAGAGGACAAAAUUGGACAGUUAAACUCACCUACCAUCAACAUGAAGAUGCCACAGUCCUUCCCCUAUGGCUGUCCCGAAAAACCCUAACGUAAGAAUUUAACCGAGUCACUUCCUUCAAGUUUUGAAUCAAUGAAUAUACACACUUUUACAAAUACCUCUAUUUCACUUCCAAUCCUCUCUUUCCAUGUCCCCCUGUUGAUUGACUGUCAACGUUUUCUGCAAUUGAAAAUAUAGGUUUAUAUUAAAUACAGUAGUUAAACAAUUACAAACGUGUUUCCAUGCAUAAGAACACCAACCAGUCAGGUUUAAAUGAUUCAUGCAAACAAAACAAGGGCGUAGGUUUGCAUAGGGACGGUAGGGACAUAACACGACCAACUUUUCAGGAUGCUAAAGUUGUCCCCACCAACUUUUGAGCAACCUUAUUUGCAUUAUAUUCGUCCCUACCAAUGUUGAGACCGGGCCAACGCCCUUGAAACAAAACAUUCGCAAUUUUAGAGUGGCAUUUUAGAAUUUUGCUUCAAAUGAUUGGAUGAAUCAUCUGGAGUGCAAUUCUGCUUUAAUUGAAGGGGCAACAUAAAAGGAUCGACUGGAACAUACCUUCAAAACCAAACAAGGCUAUUCUGGAUCAUCAUGGAAACGCCAUGCCAAUAUGAAUGGUUACUGAAUUUCAUUAGAGAUAACAAUAGUUCUCUGAUCUCAAGAUUGGAUCUGUUUUUCUUCCCACAAAUAAUUGGAAUUUGGAUCAUUUAAUUUGUUAUGAUUUGACUGUUCUUUGAAAAUGAACCAAUGCUCCAAGUUGUAGUUGUUACUAAUCAGCCUUACAGGCAAAUGCAUGUGUGGGUCACAUCCUGUAGGCUUUCACUAUGUUGCAACAACAUAGGGGUCAGCCACAAAUAUGGUCCUUCCCUGAAAAAUACAUAAUCUAUACACACGGACAUAUGUUAUAUAAAUAAAAACGUACGCAGACACCUACAUGAGCCCAUACAAGCAUUCUGUAGGCUACAUAGUUAAAAUAAUACCCUACACACGCCAAAAAACACUUUUUUAUACCUUUGAAUGAGCUACUUGUUAGACAAGUUAUAAAUAUGCAUUUCAUAUCUGCAAAAAAACAAACACAAAAAGUUACAUUUUACUUAAUUGUACAAGUGACAUUAUGUUCUUUAGAGAAACUAAAUCCUCAAAAUUCACAGUUGAUUCCAUUUCAUUGUUCAGGCCAACGUUCCAAAAGUCAGCACGUGUCAAUCAAACUUUCUUUUUUUAGACAAUCAACACCAUUUCUGGCCUCUUUAUAUUCAAGAUUUGCAUAAGCUAAUGAGAAUGUUGAUUGGUUAAAUAAACAAAGAGUAAAUAAUCAAUUAUGUCCAAUUGUUAACUAAUAUAAGGAAUAAUAAGCCUAUCCAGAUUUCCACUGAGCACAACAUUUGUCUCAGACAUAAAAACAUACCAGCCGUUCCUGGGCAGGAUGAGUUUGAACCGUCCAUGAAACUCGGCAUGGUCUUAUAUUGUCACCAUUGGUCCUGUCUGCACAGUGGGUUUUACAGUGUUUGAUGUCUAUCGAAAAAAGUGUUCAGCACAGUCCAAAAUCUAAAGUACAUUACUAUUUAUGCUACUUACUUCCAUUUGGAUCUGUGUGACAUCCCUGUAUCUGCAUGGGAAGACUACCAUUUGGGGGUCGUGAUUUAGUUUCUUCCCAAUGGGGUGGUGAUCUUGCAGCUAGUAAAAAAAAACAAAAUAAUGAAAAAAUAUAUAGCUAAGCAGAGUAACAAUAUCAAGAAAAAAUUACAACCUUGUCCUAUUUGGAUCAUGUGACAACAUUCAAACUACAAAGGACCAGACAAAACAAAUGAAGGCAAAACAACAACACCAUACAACAACAACAACAGCGAGCUGCGAAUUGCAGGCAUGUACAUAAUGAAAAAUAAGAGUGCAAUAUAAUGAAAACUACACAAAGAAGACUGUUCAUUGUGGAAAAAAAAAUGUAAAAAGCAUUAGCAGCAUUAGCUAAUUCGCUGCUGAAUUCAUCAGUACGUAUUAAACAAUAUAAGUAGAGCAAAGUCGCAUGCAGUUAGUAAAGGAAGACAUUAUUUAAAUUGCAUUAAGAAUACUAGAUAUAAGUACGGUCUUUUCAACUCAGAAUAAACACUUCAUAUUUCACCGCAAGUGUUGUUUAACUAUUUAACAUUUUUAAACAUGCGUACGCUUUUAAAAACUUUUUUUCAGUGCGGCCACUUACCGUGUUUUUUUCGCGAGAGGUGAAAUAACGUAACUUGUUUUCGUCGCAAGGGUUGACGACAUUUCCGGUCUGAGGGGACUGAGAGCUGCGGUGUUGCGUCAUUUCCUGUCUGCGGGAUUGGUACUGAGAAGAGCGGCGCAGGGUACUGAGAGAGGCGGGCUGCAGCCAGACUCCUCUCGUUUUUUCACAUGCCGGACAUUUCGUCAUGCAGCGCGUUUGUGCUGUUCACGGAGAUCUACCCUGAGUGGAACGUGAAGAAAAGCUACAAGCGCCGACUAUUUCUUGAGGAGCUUGGCAAGGCUCUAAUUCGGCCAGAAGUCCUAAAACGGGAACCACCGCCUUCUGCCGAAGGCUUGGUUGAGCAGCGAGCUGGACCCCCGUCCAAGCGCAAACAAUGUGGCCUUUGCACAAAGCCACUUCGGGCUUCGAACAUAAUAAUAAAUAAUAAUACAUUUUAUUUAUAACGCACUUUACAUUUGAACAACAAAUCUCAAAGUGCACAUCAUGAAUUGUGUAUGUUGUUAUUAUGUUAACUGUUAUAUUGUAUGUAUGUUUUGUAAAAUUGUUAACAUAAAUUCUAUCAUCAAAUCA